GAGAACUGGCUUCGUCCUCUGCUAGGGGGAAAAAGAAGCCUAAACCCUGAGCUGGGGUUCAUCGGAGAAACUCCCUGCGAUGAGCCACUAGGGUCACGGACAGGGAACUUUUUGAUGAGCGCCGAGUGGCUGGAAAGUCCUUCCGACCAGGCCCCCUCCCCCCGGUACUUCCCUGCAGCCUGCACCCUGUAAUCCUGUCCCUCUGCAAGUGAGCCUUCUUUCCCUGGGGUUUCCCACGAUCGAUUUGAAUUGGGGUCGUCGGCUGCUGAGAUCCCAAGGACGCCGACCUGAUGGGCGGUCCCUCUUUGGGGUUUGCCAACCUGCCGGUCCUUUCCGUUUUUUGAUCUUUUGAAAACGCAAGAGUGGAAAUGAUGGCUGGGCGUAGGGAUUUGCUUUCCCC
rnacentral:lncRNA from 1 species